rnacentral:rRNA from 1 species
AGCGAACGCUGGCGGCAGGCUUAACACAUGCAAGUCGAGCGGGCCCUUCGGGGUCAGCGGCAGACGGGUGAGUAACACGUGGGAACGUACCCUUUGGUUCGGAAUAACGCUGGGAAACUGGCGCUAAUACCGGAUACGCCCUUUUGGGGAAAGGCUUGCUGCCGAAGGAUCGGCCCGCGUCUGAUUAGCUAGUUGGUGGGGUAAUGGCCUACCAAGGCGACGAUCAGUAGCUGGUCUGAGAGGAUGAUCAGCCACACUGGGACUGAGACACGGCCCAGACUCCUACGGGAGGCAGCAGUGGGGAAUAUUGGACAAUGGGCGCAAGCCUGAUCCAGCCAUGCCGCGUGAGUGAUGAAGGCCUUAGGGUUGUAAAGCUCUUUUGUCCGGGACGAUAAUGACGGUACCGGAAGAAUAAGCCCCGGCUAACUUCGUG